GAAAGAAUUACAGAUUUCGUCAACCGUGAGUAGGUACAAUUUGGUGAAAUGUUUCAUCAUAUGGAAGCUUUAUUUUUUUUUUUUUGCCAAAAUAUGGAAGCUUUAUUAAGAGCAAAAUUAUGGGCUAAGCAUGUCACGAUAAGCUCUUCACGUGGGUCCCGUACUGAUCAAUCCACGUGGAGCCCCAUUAUCAUUGUCUCUUAUCACGUGCUUGGUCCCGAAAAACACGGUGGUUGUGUUAGAUUUAUGGAUUUCGAUGAACUUCACGACUACGAGAGCCGUUUAGUACCUAACCGUCCGAUUACAAUGUGAGAACUCUAAUAUGUUGCUGGCCGUCCGAUCCCCGCACUGGAUCAGAUCUGAGCACGUUCCCGCCAAACCCUCGUGAUUUGCUUUUUAAAUGUUGUUUCCUGCGCAAACUUUCCUGGUUAGGCAUAAAUGUUUCAAAAUCUUUCAUUUAAUUUAGAUUUUCGAUUCGGGUUAAUUAUCAAGUUGGUCACUGAAGUGGGCUUAAUGUAUCAAGUUGGUCACUGAACUCAAAACGGUAUCAAGAUGCUCACCAAAGUCACCAUAAAUAUCAAACAAGCACCUUGAAAUAUGAGUUCAAGCAGUAAAAAUAUUAUUUAUAAAGUUUUACACAUUAUUUUUAAAUGUUACCACAACCAACUAAAAGGUUAUGACUUCUAGUAUUUAAAAUAAUAUAUUUAUAUUCUAUCAAGUUUAUUUAUUAUUUAUAUUUUAUUAUAUAGUAAUUUCUUUGUUUUAAUUAAAAAUAAAUAAUAAAUAAACUUGAUAAAAUCUAAAUAUAUUAUCAUAAAUAUUAGAAGUCAUAACUUUUUACUUGGUUUUGGUAACAUUCAAAAAUAAUCUGUAAAACUUUAUAAAUAAUAUUUUUACUGCUUGAACUCAUAUUUCAAGUACUUGUUUGAUAUUUAUGGCCACUUAGUGACCAUCUUGAUACCGUUUUGAGUUCAGUGACCAACUUGAUACAUUAAGCCCAUUUCAGUGACCAACUUGAUAAUUAACCCUUUCCGAUUCAUCGAUUAUAAUAUGAUGGGCACAAACUGCCACAAACUGCCGUUUUAUCAAAAAGAUUGUUUAUAAAUUUCUGAUAUUAUUAAUCAAUUAAUUUUAAUUUUCAAAUUAUAGUUUUUAAAUAUUUUAUUAGCCUUUUAUUAUAUUUCGAACAGUUACAUAACAAAAUCGUGCAAAAAUAAAAACUUCACAGGUAGCAUCUUAAAAUUUCGUGAUCAGAUUCAGAAUAUUGAAAUUAAGAUCAGACACUAGGUAAAAAAGUGUUGUAUUUUCCUGUACGAUGUAGCGGGAAAACCUCAAACAUGUACCAUGUUUGCCCGCCAAGAUCUCGAAGGUGCGGGGCCCACAAAGAUCGUAGGACGGCGACCGAAUGUGGUCCACCACCUUUGUUACCAGAUUACGAUUGGAGAGGUGUAAACGAAGAUAAAAGUGUUAAACUGUUAAUGAGUGAUUUAAAGUUCCAAAUUUGGGUUGGUUUCGGACUAAAUUCUCGCAACAGUGGUUUAAAUAUUGGUCCAAAUUUAGACCGUUGGACCGAUGAACAGUGACGGUCUAAAUUUAGGCCGGCACUAUUCAUCGGCCUAAAUCUCUUUAAUAAUAUAAUAAUAACUUUUUAUUUUUUGUAUAUUUAGUUAAUUAAAUGAUUUUAUGUUAAUAUAAUUAUUAAAUAUUUAUAAAUUAUAUUUAAUAUAUUUUACUUAAAUAAUCAUAUAUAUAUAUUAAUUAUGAAAUAUAAUAAAUUAAAUAAUCUUAAAAUAAUUCAAAUUAAUAACAAAUUAAAAUGUUCGAUUUUAACAUCCUGGACGACAUCAAAAAAUAAAAAAUAAAAAAACUCAUAUUGCACUUCGAGAUGCAUUAAUUGAGCAUUUGUGUGAACAAUAUAUUAAUUCGGAGUAGCAUUGAAUCUUUCUAAAUUUUAUUUUAGUUAGUUAAAUAAAAUAUUAAAUUUUCUCUUAUUUUCUUUGUUUAAACUGAAAUAUUGAAUCUGUUAGGUCCAAAGUAUCGUAGAAGGGGGGGUUGAAUACGAUACUCACUACAAUUUAAAAUUCUUUCGAAUCUUGCGGAUAAAUAAAUUGCAGUCCUGUAAUGGGUUUCGUGUUCCGGAAAUUUAUUGGGUCGGUUUCUGAGGAUAUGAAAAUAUUAAACCAACACACAAUAUUUUCCAAGGUAUAUCUGUAUAUUGAUAAAUACCUCGAAGGUGCUACAAAUCCAAACCCGAAGGUUGGCUACAAUGACCACUCCUCUAAAUAUUACAAGCCCUAUCCACUACAAAUAUUUAUGGUACAAAACUAGGCUAGGGUGUGUGUAUAUUUGAGAGAGUUUGUGCAAAGCACUUGGCCAUCCAUCCCGAAGGAUGAUGUGAAUUGUGAGAACCACAAUCACAUAUUUAUAGGCUUUCAUAAACUAACCAUGG
rnacentral:lncRNA from 1 species